GCCUGGCUGGUUCAGUCAUCGGAGCACGUGACUCUUGAUCUUGGGGUUGUGGGUUCAAGCCCCAUGUUGGGUG
rnacentral:tRNA from 1 species